UAUGUGAUCGUCUCUCGCAUAUCAAUAAGCGGAGGAAAAGAAACUAACAAGGAUUCCCCUAGUAACGGCGAGUGAAGCGGGAAGAGCUCAAAUUUGAAAUCUUAAAGGGUUUCCCUUUACGAAUUGUAGUUUAAAGAAGUGUUUUCUGUUGAGGUUUUGGUAAAAGUUCUUUGGAAUAGGACAUCAUAGAGGGUGAAAAUCCCGUAUUUGACCUUUACUUUCAACUUUGUGAUACACUUUCAAAGAGUCGGAUUGUUUGGGAAUGCAGUCCAAAAUGGGUGGUAAAUUUCAUCUAAAGCUAAAUAUUGGCGAGAGACCGAUAGCGAACAAGUACCGUGAGGGAAAGAUGAAAAGAACUUUGAAAAGAGAGUUAAACAGUACGUGAAAUUGUCAAAAGGGAAGCGUUUGACACCAGUGUUGUUUUUCUGAAAAUCAAUUAAAGAACUGUUUAUGCUAAGUUGUUUAGACUUUAUCAGCUAUCUGCUUAGUUUUGAGCUUUUCUUUAAUGCACUUUUCAGUUAACAAGUCAACAUCAAUUUCUUUUGCUGUAAAAAAGCUUGAGGAAGGUGGCUUGAGAUUCGUCUUAAGUGUUUAUAGCCUCUUGCCUAUGCAGUCGGAGAGAUUGAGGUCUGCAGCGUAGAUCCUUCGGGGCUAAAUGCAUUUGUGCUAAGUUAUAGCAUUUUAUAGACAACUUGUUGACUAUGAUUUGUCUUGUAGCUUACUCGCUUAUGUUAUUUUACCUACGCUUAGGAUGUUGAGUAGCGACAUACGCAC
rnacentral:rRNA from 1 species